rnacentral:lncRNA from 1 species
GACUGGGGCAACUGCAAAGACGUCGGGCUCUUUCACUAAGGGACUUGGAGGGUGUGAGGCUGGUUUGCUGAAGUUGUCUUAAUCUCCACAAAGUUUAGGUUGGGUUUUCUGCUGCUCCAGAUGGAAAGGCUUCCGAGACAACUAUUCACCAAGAGCCAAGUGGACUGACUGAAUGUUCACCUCCGCUCGGUCCCUCCACCAAAUUUUAAGGCAAAAAGAUGACAAAAUUAAAGGAAGGAAGGAAAGCAGAAGGGAUGAAAGAAAAGGAAAGAAUGACAAAUCAACAGGAGUCUGAGGAAGCAUAUCAACAUUUGCAGAACCAGUAUUUGUAAUUUCAGUGCAAAGGAUCUCACAAAGAUCUCAAAACCCGUAUAAUGCAGGCUUGGGAAAGAAUUACUAUACUUAAGGAGUGAGGAAUCUGCAAAAGGAGAAGCAGGUGCCUUGCUGGAACCCAGGGAGCUACAGGAGAGAGAACAAGGCUGAGAACUACAGGAGAAAAAACAAGGCUGACGCAACCACAUUACUCAGUUGGAAGAGAACUUGGGAAAAAGAAAAUUCCACAUUGAAGUCAUCUGAGCUUGAGUGGAGGUCAAGGCUCUCUGUCACAGGACGCUGUCACAGCACCGUCGAAAUUCACUUUGCCUUUCCCUCUGCCCUAUCCGCCGAGCAAGUGCAUUCGGCAUUUCGGCCAUGGAAAUUCUCUGGCCCCCUUCGCUCUUGCCUAAAAUGGAAACCUCCGUGGCUUUGCAGAAAAAUUCCACAGUCUCCCGCAAUCCGAACUCAAUGGCUAUUUGUUGAGCACUUAUGAUCUGCUCGGUGGUUGUUAUGUCCUCAAGGGGCUUAUGAUGUUGUGGGUGAAAUGAAACAGACACAUGGGACACAAUGUGAAAACAGCAAAGCACGGUAGUGUCGUCAGUGUUAUCACGAGGUGCCAAAUGUGUGGCACUAGAAUACCAUCUCUACCACUAGCAGGGGCUCCUGCCAUGCGCCCACACCUUGCACACCUUGCCAACACCUCAUGACAAACCUAUGAGCCGGGUAGUAUUGUCUGUGAUCUACACAUCAGCAAACUGAGUCACAGAGAAUUUAAUUAACUUACAGUCUCAUGGACGAUAAGACAACCCGGCUCUUUUCACCUCCAAAGUAUGUGCAUUUGUAAUCUUAACUCCAUGCUGAACCACUGCUCUGUGAGCACCAUGAAUGGGGGGGAGGGGGGAGUCUCUAGGUGUUUUUGCUCAUGACUAUUUUCCAGAACCAUUUUCUUAGUGCUUACCAUAGUAAAUGCUCAGUUAAAAAAACAAACAACCCCCCCCAAACAAC